rnacentral:rRNA from 1 species
UGGCGGACGGGUGAGUAACGCGUGGGUAACCUGCCCCAUACAGGGGGAUAACAGUUAGAAAUGACUGCUAAUACCGCAUAAGCGCACGGGAACGCAUGUUUCUGUGUGAAAAACUGAGGUAGUAUAAGAUGGACCCGCGUCUGAUUAGCUAGUUGGUGGGGUAACGGCCUACCAAGGCGACGAUCAGUAGCCGGCCUGAGAGGGUGACCGGCCACAUUGGGACUGAGACACGGCCCAAACUCCUACGGAAGGCAGCAG